GUGGGGAAUCUUCCGCAAUGGACGAAAGUCUGACGGAGCAACGCCGCGUGAGUGAAGAAGGUUUUCGGAUCGUAAAGCUCUUUCGUUAGGGACGAACGUGCUCUUUGUGAAUAAUGAGGAGUAAUGACGGUACCUAAAUAAGAAGCCACGGCUAACUACGUGCCAGCAGCCGCGGUAAUACGUAGGUGGCAGGCGUUGUCCGGAAUUAUUGGGCGUAAAGCGCGCGCAGGCGGGAUAUCAAGUCUGUCUUAAAAGUGCGAGGCUCAACCUCGUGAGGGGACAGAAACUGGUAUGCUUGAGUGUCGGAGAGGAAAGUGAAAUUCCAAGUGUAGCGGUGAAAUGCGUAGAGAUUUGGAAGAACCCCAGUGGCGAAGGCGACUUUCUGGACGAUGUCUGACGCUGAGGCGCGAAAGCUAGGGGAGCGAACGGGAUUAGAAACCCGAGUAGUCC
rnacentral:rRNA from 1 species